AUUGAACGCUGGCGGCAUGCCUUACACACGCAAGUCGAACGGCAGCACGGGUGCUUGCACCUGGUGGCGAGUGGCGAACGGGUGAGUAAUACAUCGGAACGUACCUUAUCGUGGGGGAUAACGCAGCGAAAGCUGUGCUAAUACCGCAUACGCCCUGAGGGGGAAAGCGGGGGAUCGCAAGACCUUGCGCGAUUAGAGCGGCCGAUGCCUGAUUAGCUUGUUGGUGGGGUAAAAGCCCACCAAGGCGACGAUCAGUAGCUGGUCUGAGAGGACGAUCAGCCACACUGGGACUGAGACACGGCCCAGACUCCUACGGGAGGCAGCAGUGGGGAAUUUUGGACAAUGGGGGCAACCCUGAUCCAGCAAUGCCGCGUGAGUGAAGAAGGCCUUCGGGUUGUAAAGCUCUUUUGUCAGGGAAGAAACACCGGCUCUAACACAGUCCGGGAAUGACGGUACCUGAAGAAUAAGCACCGGCUAACUACGUGCCAGCCGCCGCCGUAA
rnacentral:rRNA from 1 species